UUUAAAUUUAGAGUUUGAUCCUGGCUCAGGACGAACGCUGGCGGCGUGCUUAACACAUGCAAGUCGAGCGAUGAAGCUUCCUUCGGGAAGUGGAUUAGCGGCGGACGGGUGAGUAACACGUGGGUAACCUGCCUCAAAGUGGGGGAUAGCCUUCCGAAAGGGAGAUUAAUACCGCAUAAUAUGAGAGAAUCGCAUGAUUUUCUUAUCAAAGAUUUAUUGCUUUGAGAUGGACCCGCGGCGCAUUAGCUAGUUGGUAAGGUAACGGCUUACCAAGGCAACGAUGCGUAGCCGACCUGAGAGGGUGAUCGGCCACAUUGGAACUGAGACACGGUCCAGACUCCUACGGGAGGCAGCAGUGGGGAAUAUUGCGCAAUGGGGGAAACCCUGACGCAGCAACGCCGCGUGGGUGAUGAAGGUCUUCGGAUUGUAAAGCCCUGUUUUCUAGGACGAUAAUGACGGUACUAGAGGAGGAAGCCACGGCUAACUACGUGCCAGCAGCCGCGGUAAUACGUAGGUGGCGAGCGUUGUCCGGAUUUACUGGGCGUAAAGGGUGCGUAGGCGGAUGUUUAAGUGGGAUGUGAAAUCCCCGGGCUUAACCUGGGGGCUGCAUUCCAAACUGGAUAUCUAGAGUGCAGGAGAGGAAAGCGGAAUUCCUAGUGUAGCGGUGAAAUGCGUAGAGAUUAGGAAGAACACCAGUGGCGAAGGCGGCUUUCUGGACUGUAACUGACGCUGAGGCACGAAAGCGUGGGUAGCAAACAGGAUUAGAUACCCUGGUAGUCCACGCCGUAAACGAUGGAUACUAGGUGUAGGGGGUAUCAACUCCCCCUGUGCCGCAGUUAACACAAUAAGUAUCCCGCCUGGGGAGUACGGUCGCAAGAUUAAAACUCAAAGGAAUUGACGGGGGCCCGCACAAGCAGCGGAGCAUGUGGUUUAAUUCGAAGCAACGCGAAGAACCUUACCUGGACUUGACAUCCCUUGCAUAGCCUAGAGAUAGGUGAAGCCCUUCGGGGCAAGGAGACAGGUGGUGCAUGGUUGUCGUCAGCUCGUGUCGUGAGAUGUUAGGUUAAGUCCUGCAACGAGCGCAACCCUUGUUAUUAGUUGCUACCAUUAAGUUGAGCACUCUAAUGAGACUGCCUGGGUAACCAGGAGGAAGGUGGGGAUGACGUCAAAUCAUCAUGCCCCUUAUGUCCAGGGCUACACACGUGCUACAAUGGUAGGUACAAUAAGACGCAAGACCGUGAGGUGGAGCAAAACUUAUAAAACCUAUCUCAGUUCGGAUUGUAGGCUGCAACUCGCCUACAUGAAGCUGGAGUUGCUAGUAAUCGCGAAUCAGAAUGUCGCGGUGAAUACGUUCCCGGGCCUUGUACACACCGCCCGUCACACCAUGAGAGCUGGUAACACCCGAAGUCCGUGAGGUAACCGUAAGGAGCCAGCGGCCGAAGGUGGGAUUAGUGAUUGGGGUGAAGUCGUAACAAGGUAGCCGUAGGAGAACCUGCGGCUGGAUCACCUCCUUUCUA
rnacentral:rRNA from 1 species